AACUAACGCUAUGUAAGUAUCAGUUUCUGUACUAUAUUG
rnacentral:misc_RNA from 1 species